UCGGUUGCUCUUCAACGUUCUCUCUACUCAAGACUGGCAUUGAUCUGCAUCAAGUGAAUUCGAAAUUUCUUCCUAUCUGUUCAGAGACUUCGUCCAUGCAGAUGUUUGACAUGUUGGAGAAGAAGAGAGGCACACUGUAUUUGUAUUUGCUUAUAACAAUAAUUUGCUACGUUGUUUUGACUGUAUCAUCAACCGAUACGAAUGACAACAACAGCAUGUGCAUUGGAGAAAAGGGACAAAAGGGAGACGUUGGCCAUCAAGGUCCUCAAGGCGUACGAG